rnacentral:lncRNA from 1 species
GAAUGAUGGCGGUAGUGGUAGUAGUAAUGACGGCGGUAGUGGUAGUAGUAAUGACGGCGGUCGUGGGAGUAGUAAUGACGGCGGUAGUGGUAGUAGUAAUGACGGCGGUAGUGGUAGUAGUAAUUAUGCGCGGGUCUUGGUUAUUAGUAAUGAUGGCGGUAGUGGUAGUAGUAAUGAUGGCGGUAGUGGUAGUAGUAAUGAUGGCGGUCGUAGUAAUGAUGUGGUAAUGAUGGCGGAGUAGUUAAUGUAUGGCGGUAGUAGUAAUGAUGGUGGUAAUGAUGGGU